UACGAAGGUGGCAAGCGUUGUUCGGAUUUACUGGGCGUACAGGGAGCGUAGGCGGUGGGGUAAGCCCUCCGUGAAAUCUCCGGGCCUAACCCGGAAAGGGCGGAGGGGACUGCUCGGCUAGAGGAUGGGAGAGGAGCGCGGGAUUCCCCGGUGUAGCGGUGAAAUGCGUAGAGAUCGGGAGGAAGGCCGGUGGCGAAGGCGGCGCUCUGGAACAUUUCUGACGCUGAGGCUCGAAAGCGUGGGGAGCAAACAGG
rnacentral:rRNA from 1 species